UACGGAGGGUGCAAGCGUUAAUCGGAUUUAUUGGGCGUAAAGAGCACGUAGGCGGAGUGGAAAGUUAGAUGUGAAAUCCCGAGGCUCAACUUCGGACCCGCAUCUAAAACUCCCAUUCUAGAGGAUGGUCGGAGAAAAGGGAAUUCCACGUGUAGCGGUGAAAUGCGUAGAUAUGUGGAAGAACACCGGUGGCGAAGGCGCUUUUCUAGGUUAUUCCUGACGCUGAGGUGCGAAAGCAAGGGGAGCAAACAGG
rnacentral:rRNA from 1 species